CUGGCUCAGAUUGAACGCUGGUGGCGUGCUUAACACAUGCAAGUCGAGCGAGAAAGCUUCUUCGGAAGUGAGUAGAGCGGCGCACGGGUGAGUAACGCGUGGAUAAUCUACCUAGAAGACUGGGAUAACAGUUGGAAACGACUGCUAAUACCGG
rnacentral:rRNA from 1 species